rnacentral:rRNA from 1 species
CCUACGGGAGGCAGCAGUGGGGAAUAUUGCACAAUGGGGGAAACCCUGAUGCAGCGACGCCGCGUGAAGGAUGAAGUAUUUCGGUAUGUAAACUUCUAUCAGCAGGGAAGAAAAUGACGGUACCUGACUAAGAAGCCCCGGCUAACUACGUGCCAGCAGCCGCGGUAAUACGUCGGGGGCAAGCGUGAUCCGGAUUUACUGGGUGUAAAGGGAGCGUAGACGGUAUGGCAAGUCUGAUGUGAAAACCCGGGGCCCAACCCCGGGACUGCAUUGGAAACUGUCGGACUAGAGUGUCGGAGAGGCAAGUGGAAUGCCUGGUGUAGCGGUGAAAUGCGUAGAUAUUGGGAGGAACACCAGUGGCGAAGGCAGCUUGCUGGACGAUGACUGACGUUGAGGCUCGAAAGCGUGGGGAGCGAACAGGAUUAGAUACCCGGGUAGUC